CAGAGGGUAGUUUAUGUAAAAUUUUAAUUUUGGGAAUUAGUGAAGGAUCACCCUCCCCCUCUGA
rnacentral:tRNA from 1 species